CCUUGAGGCGGCCUAGAAUGGACAGGGCACGGUCGCAUACCCAUUGGAGGUGGGAGUCGAAGGUGAACCUGUCAUUGAAGACCACCCCGAGGGC
rnacentral:miRNA from 1 species